ensembl:lncRNA
CGGCGUCAUGUUGCUUCAGCAGGACCUGGACCUCUUUAGUCAUCCAGGGUUUCUGGUUGGAAUACACCCGGAGACGUUUGUCCACAGUGACACUGUUGACACAGAAGUUAAUAUAUGAGAGCACUGGUGUUGUGUGCUCUUCGAGGUCCUGAUGUUCAAACACGCUCCAGUCUGUGUUUUCAAAACAGUCCUGCAGCUGAUGUGAUGCACCUUCUGGCCAGGUUUUCACAGUUUUUGUGACUGGGGGGGCUCUUCUCCUAAUGGGAGUGUAUGCAGGGAUCAGCAGCACGGACAUGUGGUCUGACAAACCUAGAUGUGGUAGAGGGGUUGCUCUGUAGCCUUUUUGGAUGUUGCUGUAGGCUUUAUCCAAUGUGUUUUCCCCUGGUUGCACAUUUAAUAUGCUGUUCAAAUCUGGGGAAUACUGACCUUAAAUCAGCAUGGUUGAAGUCCCCAGCUAUAAUGUGCACUGCGUUUGGAUGGGAGUUCUGCUGGUUGCUUAUUGUCUUGUGCAGCUCCUCCAUGGCCGAGUUAGCAUUAGCAUCGGGUGGUACAUACACGGCCGUUACCAUGACAACAGUAAACUCGCGAGCUGUCAUUGGUGUAGAUGCAUAAACCCCCUCCUUUGAGCUUACCGGAGUGGCCGUUCCUGUCGUGACGGUGGACCGUGCAGCCUGCUAGCUCAAUAGCCGAGUCCGGAAUUGAUGGCUGCAGCCAAGUCUCUAUGGCCUGACUCAGCAGGUGGGGGUAAAUGCAGUUUCUGAGUUUGCCUUCACCCAAGCAGUGCAGAAAUGGCUCCGCUAUGCUCCCGAUCGGAUGGGUGGUGCAGGACGCCCGAUAUCCAGCCCCAUCCCGGAGUAAACUAAGAACAAUGACUUGUAACUAAUACAUUUAACAAUAAAUCUUUUUUUAUAAAAUAAAUAGUUUUUUUUAUUGAUACAAAUAUGUCUAUUGUCAUUUUUUUUAAUCACAUAAUGCCCAGUGCUUAAUUUUAUAGGGCUAUUGAUAUAGACAUGAUAAAUUGUAGAAUAAUGUUCAACAUAUAAUGGUUAUCCUCUUUUUAGAUCAAACACAAUUGUCUUUAUCACUGGUUUAAG